GACUUCAGUAAAGGAGGGAAAUACUGGCAAGCUCAGGCCUUGACCUCUAGCAGUGAUAUUCUUGUUUCAAGACUUGGAGGUCUACACACAUAUCCACCUAUUUCUGUCGGAGUCUACCCUAGCUGCAAUCUAUCCCUGGGCAGAGAGCCAGUGCAGAAUCUCUCCAGCACAGAAUCCCCACUUGAGCCAUGGGUUUAACUGGAACAUAAUGAAGGGAGUGGCUGAAAAUAACCUGCCCUUACAAGGCAAUCACAUUUCAGGAUUCCCAGGCCAUAGGGAAAAAGUAUCUGUAAACAGCAGGGUCUCUGGGUCCUGCCUUUCCCAUCACCUUCUUCUCCUUGGAAAAGGAAACCUUGAGAAACUUCUGUGAAAGCAGCAGUCCCAAUGUGGGAAAGAGAACUUUUGGUGGCUUUGUUCUCCCUUGAACUGCCCCUCUGUGGCCAUGCCAACUGCAGGCGAGCAGUGGAGUGCACUUUUUCCCAGUUCUGUACAAUGUGAGAGCAGGGGAAUGUCUGCUCCAGGAGCCUCUUUGCAGACGGGUAUUUUUAUUCACAUUUGACUGGAUGAUGAAGAUAUCAAAGAUAAAGCACUUCUUUGGGUAAAGCAAAAAGAACCAAGCUGGUUCUGCCAAAGGGAUCCAGCCACUGUGUGGCCGUGGAUGGGAGCCAGCUGCCCAGUCUGCAUUCGAUUUCGACAUGGAAACCAUCUGAUCAGAAGAGAAAUCUCCUAAGCAAAACUAAACAAAAUGAAGGACAUUCAGUUAAACAAUGAAAAGGAGGGUGUUAGGAGGAAAACUGAUGGCUCCUAAGGGGAGUUUCCUCUCCGUAUA